UACGUAGGGUGCAAGCGUUGUCCGGAAUUAUUGGGCGUAAAGAGCUCGUAGGCGGUUUGUCACGUCGGCUGUGAAAUCUCGGGGCUUAACUCCGAGCCUGCAGUCGAUACGGGCAGACUUGAGUUCGGUAGGGGAGACUGGAAUUCCUGGUGUAGCGGUGAAAUGCGCAGAUAUCAGGAGGAACACCGGUGGCGAAGGCGGGUCUCUGGGCCGAAACUGACGCUGAGGAGCGAAAGCGUGGGGAGCGAACAGG
rnacentral:rRNA from 1 species